GUAGGCGGCAAGCGUUGUCCGGAAUUAUUGGGCGUAAAGCGCGCGCAGGUGGGUUCUUUAAGUCUGAUGUGAAAGCCCCCGGGCUCAACCGGGGAGGGUCAUUGGAAACUGGGGAACUUGAGUGCAGGAGAGGAAAGUGGAAUUCCACGUGUAGCGGUGAAAUGCGUAGAUAUGUGGAGGAACACCAGUGGCGAAGGCGACUUUCUGGCCUGUAACUGACACUGAGGCGCGAAAGCGUGGGGAGCAAACAGGAUUAGAUACCCUGGUAGUCCACGCCGUAAACGAUGAGUGCUAAGUGUUGGGGGGUUUCCGCCCCUCAGUGCUGCAGCUAACGCAUUAAGCACUCCGCCUGGGGAGUACGGUCGCAAGACUG
rnacentral:rRNA from 1 species